rnacentral:rRNA from 1 species
CCCUUAGAUGUUCUGGGCUGCACGCGCGCUACACUGAUGCGUUCAACGAGUUUAUGACCUUGGCCGAUAGGUCUGGGUAAUCUUUGAACGCUGUUCGUGAUUGGGAUAGACCUUUGCAAUUAUGGGUCUUCAACGAGGAAUUCCUAGUAAACGCAAGUCAUCAGCUUGCAUUGAUUACGUCCCUGCCCUUUGUACACACCGCCCGUCGCACCUACCGAUUGAAUGGUCCGGUGAAAUCUCGGGACGGCGGCUUGGUCGCUUGCGUCCGACUGCUGAAACUUGAUUAAACCAUAUCAUUUAGAGGAAGGUGAAGUCGUAACA